rnacentral:rRNA from 1 species
AUUGAACGCUGGCGGCAUGCCUUACACAUGCAAGUCGAACGGUAACGCGGGGCAACCUGGCGACGAGUGGCGAACGGGUGAGUAAUGUAUCGGAACGUGCCCAGUUGUGGGGGAUAACUGCUCGAAAGAGCAGCUAAUACCGCAUACGACCUGAGGGUGAAAGCGGGGGAUCGCAAGACCUCGCGCAGUUGGAGCGGCCGAUAUCAGAUUGGGUAGUUGGUGGGGUAAAGGCCUACCAAGCCUACGAUCUGUAGCUGGUCUGAGAGGACGACCAGCCACACUGGGACUGAGACACGGCCCAGACUCCUACGGGAGGCAGCAGUGGGGAAUUUUGGACAAUGGGGGAAACCCUGAUCCAGCCAUGCCGCGUGCGGGAAGAAGGCCUUCGGGUUGUAAACCGCUUUUGUCAGGGAAGAAAUCCUUUGAACUAAUACUUCGGAGGGAUGACGGUACCUGAAGAAUAAGCACCGGCUAACUACGUGCCAGCAGCCGCCGUAA